CCUCUCUUACAGCAUGUGGUCUCCUCUCCAGCUCCCAUCAACCCCCAGGAGAAGAUGAAGGGAGCUUUGAGUCUCUCAGGCGGAAGGUUGAAGCACAUCCCCAACACCCAGACAGAUGUGAACAUUGUGGACAUUUCCCUGCAUCCAGCUUGAGGCCUGCUACCAGCAGGAACAUGGAGCACUCCAUGUCAGUGUUAGAGACCAGGUGCUAAUAUUCAAAGGGCCUCCAGAGCCUUCAGACCAACUACUCUCCAGAGCCUUCAGACCAACUACUCUCCAGAGCCUUCAGACCAACUACUCGCCAGAGCCUUCAGACCAACUACUCUCCAGAGCCUUCAGACCAACUACUCUUCAGAGCCUUCAGACCAACUACUCUCCAGAGCCUUCAGACCAACUACUCUCCAGAGCCUUCAGACCAACUACUCUCCAGAGCCUUCAGACCAACUACUCUUCAGAGCCUUCAGACCAACUACUCUCCAGAGCCUUCAGACCAACUACUCUCCAGAGCCUUCAGACCAACUACUCUUCAGAGCCUUCUGACCAACUACUCUUCAGAGUCUUCAGACCAACUACUCUCCAGAGCCUUCAGACCAACCUGCUCCUGAAUCGCUAGCUAGACAUGUAACCCUUCGGGAGAGAAACAAAGGGGCAAUGGCAUAUACGGUUUGUCAUUGCACUCAUUUCUUUAUUAUUAUUAUUUUUUUUACAUUUAUAUACUCUACUCUUGAAUAUGAAACCGUGAGAGAAGCACUGAUGGUCGCAGAAGUAUUUUUUUUUCGGUGAUCUUGUUGUUUUUGUGAUGGUCUUCAGACCAACUACUCUCCAGAGCCUUCAGACCAACUGCUCUCCAGAGCCUUCAGACCAACUACUCUCCAGAGCCUUCAGACCAACUACUCUCCAGAGCCUUCAGACCAACUACUCUCCAGAGCCUUCAGACCAACUACUCUUCAGAGCCUUCAGACCAACUACUCUCCAGAGCCUUCAGACCAACUACUCUUCAGAGCCUUCAGACCAACUACUCUCCAGAGCCUUCAGACCAACUACUCUCCAGAGCCUUCAGACCAACUACUCUCCAGAGCCUUCAGACCAACUACUCUUCAGAGCCUUCAGACAAACUACUCUCCAGAGCCUUCAGACCAACUACUCUCCAGAGCAUUCAGACCAACUACUCUUCAGAGCCUUCAGACCAACUACUCUCCAGAGCCUUCAGACCAACUACUCUCCAGAGCCUUCAGACCAACUACUCUCCAGAGCACAGAGAAGUAACCUCCACUGGUGGAAAUAUACUUUAUUCACCAUGUAACCCUUCACUAUGGCUGUCUGUCUGUGUGAUGACAUAUAGCAUAUUAUCCAGGGCCACUGGUUGGAUUUACUGUACUCACUCCAAAACACAUGCAACCGUCUCCCUGUAAAAGUCUCCCAGACUUGUAUAAAAAGGAACGUGUCCAUCCCUCUGUUCUCAGCUGAUUCUGCUGGGCCAUGGAACUCUAGAGCAGCACAUCCAAAAACCUGCCACCCUGUUGCCAGCUAUCGACGGUUCCCUGAGGAAAGAUGCAACUAUCAAGGCUUUAAAUGGUCAAAUUUGGGGGAUGACCACCAAAUUCAAUAAAGUUUUGUAGAAACUACAAUAACUGUUUCUUAGCCUGUUCUCAUUUUUACUAACUACUAUGGUAACUUAAGCAUCUGGCAACAUGCAGACUUUAUCCAUCAAGACAAUACUUAUGAUUUGUAAGGGCUAAAAUCAAUGAAUACAUUUCUAUUAAUCUAUUCAUGUAAAUGAUACCCAACCAGCCUAACUGUCUAUUUGCAGUGAAAUUAUGAGGGGCAUUUUUCUUGUCAACUUUUUCAGUCACCAAUUAAUCAAUAAACAGGCUGUGGAAUGAAGUAGUUUGACAAGUGUUGAAAGUCAGUAAUGACUCUUUCAAAUAUGCCAAGCAAAUAUAUAGAAGCCUAGCUAACAUUAGCUACACUGCAGUGAUUAUGGUGGGAGUAGGCUAGCUAGCCUUCCCCCAGCAGUUUCAAUAUAGCUAGUUAUGUAGCUAACUAAUGGCAUUCAUAAUCAAGUUUAUCAAUCAGUAGGUUAACUGGAAAACAUAUUUGUUUUCCCCUUCCAUCUAAAGCUGCCUGAUAAAGCCAGUUGAUAGUAAAGCUAGGAUGAAUGUCAGAGGCCAGCUAGCUUACGAAAUAGCAGCUGUCAGUUUAAUUGUUGGUCCGGAGUUUGUCUAAAAUGUACCACUAUAUUUCACAUGAUAAGCAAACUACUGUCAUGCCUUUUUACAACAAAAAAAAUCUAUGAACGCACAUAAAAGAGAUGUUACUUUCAAUUAGAUUGUUUUGGUUUUAUUUACCUCGUCCUCUCUUGCUAAUGUGGGUAACUACUUCCUGAGAUGUGAUUGAUGGAACAAUCCAGUCAAUCGUUAGGCGGCUGUGGUUUUGGCAGAGGGAACUGAUUGGCCAGGAGUUAAAGGUCCUGCCCCCAGAGCGCAAAUCACAUGUGUACUUCUCUGUCUACAAACCUACAAACGUUUACGAAUCUCUUGCUAACGUGACAACAGUGAUAGAACUC